AGAGUUUGAUCCUGGCUCAGAACGAACGCUGGCGGCGUGGAUAAGACAUGCAAGUCGAGCGCUGAUUACAGGGUAGCAAUAUUCUGUGGUUGGAGCGGCGCAAGGGUGCGUAACACGUGGGUAAUCUGCCAUGAAGUUUGGAAUAACUUGCUGAAAGGCGAGCUAAUACCGGAUGUGACAAUUGAGAGGCAUCUUCCGAUUGUCAAAGCUGGGGACCGUAAGGCCUGGCGCUUCAUGAUGAGCCCGCGGCCUAUCAGCUAGUUGGUGAGGUAACGGCUCACCAGGGCUAAGACGGGUAGCUGGUCUGAGAGGACGACCAGCCACACUGGAACUGAGACACGGUCCAGACACCUACGGGUGGCAGCAGUCGAGAAUUUUUCACAAUGGGCGCAAGCCUGAUGGAGCGACGCCGCGUGGGGGAUGAAUGGCUUCGGCCCGUAAACCCCUGUCAUUUGCGAACAAAUUGGUUCAAUUAACACCUGAACCAUUGAUAGUAGCGAAAGAGGAAGGGACGGCUAACUCUGUGCCAGCAGCCGCGGUAAUACAGAGGUCCCAAGCGUUGUUCGGAUUCACUGGGCGUAAAGGGUGCGUAGGUGGUGAGGUAAGUCGGAUGUGAAAGCUCGGAGCUCAACUCCGAAAUGGCAUUGGAAACUACCUUGCUCGAGGGUUGGAGGGGGGACUGGAAUGCUUGGUGUAGCAGUGAAAUGCGUAGAUAUCAAGCGGAACACCAGUGGCGAAGGCGAGUCCCUGGACAACUCCUGACACUGAGGCACGAAAGCUAGGGGAGCAAACAGGAUUAGAUACCCUGGUAGUCCUAGCCGUAAACGGUGCACGUUUGCUGUAAAAGGAAUCGACCCCUUUUGUGGCGUAGCCAACGCGUUAAACGUGCCGCCUGGGAAGUACGGUCGCAAGAUUAAAACUCAAAGAAAUUGACGGGGGCCUGCACAAGCGGUGGAGUAUGUGGCUCAAU
rnacentral:rRNA from 1 species